rnacentral:tRNA from 1 species
GCCCCGGUGGUACAAUGGUUAAGUAUUUGGCUGCUAACCAAAAGGCAGGUGGUUUGAAUCCAUCCAGCAGUU